CUUCAGCGAGCCCAGCCACAGCGGGCGGCCUUCGGGGCGGCCCUGGCCGUAAGUGGCGAGCAGGGCCUGCGCCUC
rnacentral:antisense_RNA from 1 species